rnacentral:rRNA from 1 species
GCAAGUCGAACGGUAACAUUUCUAGCUUGCUAGAAGAUGACGAGUGGCGGACGGGUGAGUAAUGCUUGGGAACUUGCCUUUGCGAGGGGGAUAACAGUUGGAAACGACUGCUAAUACCGCAUAAUGUCUACGGACCAAACGGGGCUUAGGCUCCGGCGCAAAGAGAGGCCCAAGUGAGAUUAGCUAGUUGGUAAGGUAAAGGCUUACCAAGGCGACGAUCUCCAGCUGUUCUGAGAGGAAGAUCAGCCACACUGGGACUGAGACACGGCCCAGACUCCUACGGGAGGCAGCAGUGGGGAAUAUUGCACAAUGGGGGAAACCCUGAUGCAGCCAUGCCGCGUGUGUGAAGAAGGCCUUCGGGUUGUAAAGCACUUUCAGUUGUGAGGAAAAGUUAGUAGUUAAUACCUGCUAGCCGUGACGUUAACAACAGAAGAAGCACCGGCUAACUCCGUGCCAGCAGCCGCGGUAAUACGGAGGGUGCGAGCGUUAAUCGGAAUUACUGGGCGUAAAGCGCACGCAGGCGGUUUGUUAAGCUAGAUGUGAAAGCCCCGGGCUCAACCUGGGAUGGUCAUUUAGA